AAAUUGAUCAACCUGCAUUGAUUCCGCAUAUAUCUGAAGCCAGCUCCUUAAAGUAUGCUUAUGAGGUCCUUUUCCGGAGCUUACACAAGCUGCUUAUGGAUACUGCAACUUCUGAGUAUCUUUUCUGUGAUGAUUUCUUCAGGAAGAAUCUAUAUUUUAUGAAAUUUUCGCAGGUGGCAAUUUAAUUUCUGCUAGAACUUCUGUGUCAGCCAUCACAAUUUCAGAUUUUAGUAGUACUGGUAUUAUUGAGACUGGCUUAGGAUCAGUUUUGGCUUCUACAAUGAAAGAAAGCACAACCAAAGAGGCAAGUACAGAUGCUUCUUAGGACACUUUCAAAGUAGCUAUUCUCACAGUAAGUGAUACAGUUGCAUCGGCAACUGGGCCUGAUCGAAGGUACUAAAUCUGUGUAUAUGCGUGCUCUCUGUCUCUCUCUCUUUUAUUUCCUUUUUUAAUGCUUCCUGUGUAUAUAUAGUUAUUCAUCCAUCCAGUUUAGAUAUGUUAAAAAAGCAAAACAAAGAAAAGGCAUCUAGGUACACCUUUUUGACUCAGUAGGUUUAAAAAUCUUUAUGGAUGCUACAGUGAUAGAGCAGAGCUGAUGUUCUGCCUUAUAUGAGUUAGAUAUGGAACAUUAUAUAGCAAACAGUGGAUUAUUAGAAUCUUUAUGUCCUUGGAUGACUCAAUCUUUGGGAUCAUCUUCUCUAAGGUGUCCUUAAUUGGGAAUGCAAAGAUCAUUACCUAAACUUAAUAGCAUCUGGAUACACCUCUUUGAAUCAUUGUUUCAGAAGGGUCACUUCCUUGAUGCCAUAGUAAAAAGCCAAGCUGAUGUUACUCCUUGUCAAAGUGAAACAUGGAAAGUACUAAAUGCUAUACAACAGUAUUCUGGAAAUAGUAUGGCAAUCAUCAAGUCAUCUUGGUGGUGUUCUUUCUUAUUUUUGCUUCUAUUGUGCUUGUAUUAGAACUUACUUGUGAGCAUUGAACUAUAAAUAAUCUGACAACACUUUAGAACUAUCCUUUUUUGUAAUGCUUGACUAUUUGAAGAAUUGACCAAACUUGAAAUCUUUUUGAAAGCAUUAAUGACCAUUUAACUAAAGGCCUUUGGUUGUG